AUACGUAGGGGGCGAGCGUUGUCCGGAAUUAUUGGGCGUAAAGGGUACGUAGGCGGUUUUUUAAGUCUGGUGUGAAAUUGGUGGGCUCAACCCACCCAAGCAUUGGAAACUGGAAAACUUGAGUCAUGGAGAGGAAAGUGGAAUUCCUAGUGUAGCGGUGAAAUGCGUAGAUAUUAGGAGGAAUACCGGUGGCGAAGGCGACUUUCUGGACAUGUACUGACGCUGAGGUACGAAAGCGGGGGGAGCAAACAGGAUUAGAUGCCCUGGUAGUCCACGCCGUAAACGAUGAGUGCUAGGUGUUGGGGGUCAAACCUCGGUGCCGCAGUUAACACAUUAAGCACUCCGCCUGGGGAGUACGUGCGCAAGCAUGAAACUCAAAUGAAUUGGCGGGG
rnacentral:rRNA from 1 species